rnacentral:rRNA from 1 species
CUUUACUAUAACUUAGCAUUGGGUUUUGAUAUUGCAUGCGUAGAAUAGGUGGGAGACUUUGAAGCCUGGACUCUGGUCUGGGUGGAGUCGCAAUGUGAAAUACCACCCUUGUAAUCUUGAAAUUCUAACUCCGGCUUUUGAAUCAAGGCCGAGGACAUUGCUAGGCGGGUAGUUUGACUGGGGCGGUCGCCUCCUAAAAGGUAACGGAGGCUUGCAAAGGUUCCCUCAGCACGCUUGGUAACCGUGCGUAGAGCGCAAAGGCAUAAGGGAGCUUGACUGUGAGGCAAACAAGCCGAGCAGAGACGAAAGUCGGCCUUAGUGAUCCGGUGGUUCUGUAUGGAAGGGCCAUCGCUCAAAGGAUAAAAGGUA